AAAGAGGGUACAUUUUGCAUUGCCUUUGGCGAGAGCUGCAGUUUGUGUGAAUAGUGAUGCAAAAUUGGAUAACUUUCUACUUGACAAUUAUGGAAAGGGCCCAUCAACUUUUACCCCAUUUGAAACUAAAGUCUGUGUUCAUUGUUCCAGCAUCAACAGUUGGAAGUUACACUGUUUCAAACAGCCUCAUACCUCACUGCAAAGCUUGUCUGCAACUAGAUAGACUCCAUUUGUGGUAACAAAGAGAGCCUCCUGAUAUCCCUGUUCGAGGGCCACUGCAAUGCUUGCCUCUUCAAACUCCCGGGUGAGCUGAGCUAUCACAGGGGAGGUAGUAGCCCAGCUCAAUGCUGCCAUCUCAAUGGCCAUUCAGGCCAACUCUGGUAGAAGCCCCCCAGUCUAGCCUCCAUGCAGGUCCUUCCAGAGCUUCAGAGCCAAAUAUCUGAGCCAGAUUUGGUUUAUUGAGCUGCAACUGACAAUGUGAUGGAUGCCAUUGUCAGCACAACAGAGAAAAUGAAACUGAACUAUAACAAUCCGGUUUGAUUUGGCCAAAACCUUGAAGACCUUGAACAAGUCUCAAUGUGCAAUCAAUUUUCAACGUGACCUUGACGUUGAGUCCACAUCUGGGACAGAAGGGACCAGUCAUUUGCGUAAGGAGAGGGGCGGCCAGAAAGAUUCAGACACUUUCAGAGAAAAUCAGCAGUGGUUCUGGGGUUGCUCCUUUGUUUUGUCGUUCAAGUGCCACUCCCAGCCUGACUGAUGCCUCCCCUGAAUACAAGAUGAACAGCCCCAGCAUCUGUAACCUCCUCUGUCACAGGGAUCAUCAAGAUACACGUCUGAAGGCACGUGUGAUGAAUACGACCAGCCAGUUCCUCUGUAUGACCACAAGACAGGGUCUUUAGAGUAGAGAGACUUGUUUACACCCCACACAAUCGACGGCCAUAUAAAAUAGAGCUAACGGACUACUGACUCCUGUUGUCAUCUAUUCAAGAUGACGGUACAGCUAACAACGCUUCUCCUCCGGGGUUUUCAGACACCAUGAAGGUGUUAUUUACUGAGCACCAAAGUUAUUACAAUUCCCAGUACUGGAGAGUAAAAUGUUGGUUGUCAUCGUCCGACUUCAAACCCGUUACACUGCAUUACAAGAAUGUUUUAAUGGCAAAUUGGAUAAAUGCAAGUAAUGCUUCAAGAGUUUCAAGUGUUUUGUGUGAUUGGUUGCUGUGACGCAGAUUUCCUUACACUGCUUACUUCCUGAUCAGAUGGUGGAAGCUCUAGUUCACAUAUGGUCACAUUCUGGUUACACAUUUUGUAAGGCUGUUGUUGAUCUGGCAGGACUCCGUCCACAGCCUGACUCUGAUGUAAUA